rnacentral:tRNA from 1 species
GCCGAAGUGGCGGAAUGGCAGACGCGGCGGUCUCAAAAACCGUUGGGGGGCAACCCUCGUGUCGGUUCGACUCCGACCUUCGGCACCA